GUCCACUCUGUCCCUACUGUCCACUCUGGGAUUCCUCGCUACUGGGACAUUCCAGAGGGAAAUUAGUGACAGGUCGGGUAUAUCACAGCCAUCAUUCAUCCUGCCACAAGUGAUCGAGGCGAUUCUACACAUAUUGUCCACGAGAUACAUUAGAUACAUUAGUUUCCCAUUUACAGCCGACGAACAGGCGCGCGUCAAAGUCGAGUUUGUCCGCUCAUUUAAUUUCCCAUGGGUCAUCGUGACUGCACGCAUAUUGCCUUACACUCACCGUCUGUAGAUGUACAUGUGGACGUUAACAGGAAGAAUUUCCAUUCAUUGAAUGUUCAGAUCUGCGAUGCCCGUAUGCAACUACUCAAUGUGGCCAGGGUCUACCCACAACUCAAACGUUCAACAAUUGCAUUAUGUAAAUGAAUCAAACCCUGCGUAUUCUUCCGAGUUCAGUCACAAUCUGCCCAACCGAUGUGUUCAACUCGUUCUGGGUUUGCAGGAUUUAGGCGGUCAACACGCGAACAGAGGACAUGGACACAGAUGUGGAUGGACCCUCGAAACCUGUGGUCAAACAUUCCCCUUCACUCCUGGUACCUGCUGAUUUGGGAGCCUCACGCACUUUAUCACACCGAGCAGUAACUUCGGAAACGGUUAAAUUGGCUUGCGAAACCACCACGACUGGAUCACGAAACGCUGGAAGCUGCUUUGCAGCCUGUGCGCCCUCCACCCAGAGAUAAAGACCGAGGGUAAGUUGACUUUAUAUUCACACAUUCAGACAUCCAAAAGCCAUUUUAAAAAAGUACAAAUGAAUAACUAAUUCACAGUUUGUCACAAACUAGGUAUGAUAUAUUCCAUAAAAUGUCUAGCAUUAUUUGAUCACUUUCGUUUUGAUUCGAUAGAGGGCAUGUAGUCCGUCUAGAGGGCGUGUGGUCGAAGUUUUAACGAGUCUGUUGUACCCUACUAGAAGGGACCUGGCAGAAAAUUCUGCUUCUUCAGUCAUUAAAUUAGAUUACAGGAAAAAACUACGCGAUGAAGGGGUCAGGACUGACUAACAAGGAAAGCGGAUGGACAGGUGGAUGGAUCAAGAUAACCAAGAGGAUCAACAAGGACAUUCCACAGAAGCAGAGUGGAGAUAAGGAAAACUAAGAGUGAACCAUAACAUAGUAUUUACUGUGUUAUAUAUAUAUAUAUAUAUAU
ensembl:lncRNA